rnacentral:misc_RNA from 1 species
AGGAAAUUUUGCAAUCAUCUUCACCUGAAAGUGUAUAUAUAUAUAUAAGAAGGAUGUUAGCUCACAAAAGCAGUUUAUUAAAAAAUGUAAAUCAAUCAGUCAUGAUAAGCCAUCUAUGCUCCUGCGCCUGAAAUAAAAACCACUAAAAACUGAAAUUUAUUUCAUACUUUCAGUUAACACAUAUAUGAGAUGCUUUAUCAAGACAACAAACACAGUUGUCAAAUCAAGAUUUGGAUUGUGAAUUACAAUGUAAAUUCUCUGAAUUGAGAACUUAGAAUCAAAAAAUUGCAAUAAAAUCAGAAAAUCAAUAAAAAAUGACAAUAUAUUUUGAGAAGUUGAAUAUUUAUAGCAAACUUUGAAUAAUCGCAUAAUCAUGAAGGCUAUGGUUUCAAAGCAAGUAAUGCAGGCCAUGGCCCAAUAUGAGCCGUACUAUUAUUAUGUAUAUAAAUAAAACAAAAAUGGAAAUUUAAUUUGAUAGCCAAAAUAUUUAAAAUUCAUGGAAAAACAUAUACAAUAUUCCUUUCUUUUCAAGCAUGAACACCAUAUUUGUAUGCACUAUGUACUAUUGAAUAUUCAAAAUCACAAAGUUUCUAAACCCAUGUAAUCUCCAAAAUACCAAGGAAACAAAUAAACUUGUACUAUACUAUUCUUCAACAUGAAUUAGUAUCAGGCUUCAGUAAUCCGUGUUUUGUUUGGAGAUGAAAAGAAGACUACAUAAGGAAGAGAAUGAAAGAUGAAAGCAAAAUCAAGCAAGGGCAGAGAAUAAAAUACAAAAUGAACUAAGGAUUGCGGAGGAAGAGAGAAGGAAAAAAAUUAGAAAAAAAA